rnacentral:rRNA from 2 species
UCCGGUUGAUCCUGCCAGAGGCUACUGCUAUCGGGGUCCGACUAAGCCAUGCGAGUUGAGAGGGGUAAGCCCUCGGCAUAUUGCUCAGUAACACGCGGAUAACCUGCCCUUGGGUUUGGGAUAACCCCGGGAAACUGGGACUAAUACCGGAUAGAUCAAAGAAACUGGAAUGUUCUCUGAUCGAAAGCUCCGGCGCCCAAGGAUGGGUCUGCGGCCUAUCAGGUAGUAGUGGGUGUAACGUACCUACUAGCCUACGACGGGUAAGGGUUGUGAGAGCAAGAGCCCUGAGAUGGAUUCUGAGACAUGAAUCCAGGCCCUACGGGGUGCAGCAGGCGCGAAAACUUUACACUGCGGGAAACCGCGAUAAGGGGACCCCGAGUGCCAGCACCUAGUGCUGGCUGUCCAGCUGUUCAAAUAACAGUUGUUAGCAAGGGCCGGGCAAGACCGGUGCCAGCCGCCGCGGUAACACCGGCGGCCCGAGUGGUAGCCGUUAUUAUUGGGUUUAAAGGGUCCGUAGCCGGCCUAUUAAGUCUCUUGGGAAAUCUGGCGACUCAAUCGUCAGGCGUUCAAGAGAUACUGGUAGGCUUGGGACCGGGAGAGGUGGGAGGUACUCCAGGGGUAGGGGUGAAAUCUCGUAAUCCUUGGGGGACCACCGAUGGCGAAGGCAUCCCACCAGAACGGGUCCGACGGUGAGGGACGAAAGCUGGGGGCACGAACCGGAUUAGAUACCCGGGUAGUCCCAGCCGUAAACGAUGCUCGCUAGGUGUCAGGUGCGGUGCGACCGCAUCUGGUGCCGCAGUGAAAACUUGAAGCGAGUCACCUGGGAAGUACGGUCGCAAGGCUGAAACUUAAAGGAAUUGGCGGGGGAGCACUACAACGGGUGGAGCCUGCGGUUCAAUUGGAUUCAACGCCGGG